rnacentral:lncRNA from 1 species
GUUCGCCAAAGAUUGGUUGCUCAGGGAAAGUUGGAAGUAUGAUGUAAGUUGUCGGAAAGGACCAUAUUGACAUAUUCUGAAAAGAAGUAACUCUUGUUCGGAAGUGAUAGUCAAAAUGGGACUAUGGAAAUGUCUCCAUAGGUGGAAGUUAUUCAAUCUAUGUAAGAUUAGAAAACCUUAAUGCAAGAAGGAUGUUCAAAGCAAUGUACUUUGAAUAUGAGACUUCCGUUCCAUAGAAGUUGACCUUCUUUGGAAUACUCUGUAAUGACUGGUGACAAGGUUUUGGUGACUUUGUGCAUAAUCAUUACAAGAGGAACAUUGCAUAAAAGUUUAAAAUCUAACAGUUUUUUUGGUAAAUGAUAGGAAUCGGGGAUUCUCACAUUUACAAUAAGGAUUUGGGAUUGUGAAAUGAGUAUCAUUGGAAUCAUGUUCAAUUGAUCUACAUCACAAUGUAAGGAUCAUAGACAAACAUAGUGUGCAUACUUGGAGUAUGGCAUAACUAUUGUUUAGAAAAACAAAGUGUACAUGCUAGGAGCAUGGGACGACUGUUGUUUUUAUUCAAGUCUUAAGUUGAUUGUUUGAAACAUUAUACAAUGAAUAAUGUGUAAUCAAUAUGGUGAUAAAUAAAAGGUGGUUCUAUUUAUAUUCAAAAGGGUUCUGAGACCAUAUUGGAUUCGAUUAUUAUUGUGUUUCACUUUGCAUGUUUUGACUUCCAAAAUAGCUAGGUUAUUCUUUCCGAAUGACUAAGUUAUUUAAACACUCCACAGUCGUUCAUAUGUUGGAAGUAGGUAUGAAUCAAGACUGUCAUGAAUCGAGUUUGUAGAUGGCUAAAUGGGUUUAGUCAUAGCAAUGGUUGCUACAACAUUCAUGAGUGCUCAUAAGUUAUGAGUAUUGGAAUAAACCCACGCUCACUUGUAUCACUUCAUGGAAUUUAUCUCGAGUGAUCGUGAGACGGUAAUAUCAUAUAAAUCUUCAAACCUAGAGAUAUGAGUUGUUACCUAUGAGUUGGUUGUGCAUUGAUUGCACGUAAACGCAUCAGUAACUUGAUGUUAUAAAACGUGCCUUUGUGUACAAUUCAACAAGUAGUAGAACAAGCAUAUGAGUCGAAGUUUAUCUGUUCCUUCUAGAAAUAGAAGCGAUAUCUGGGCCCCUCGAUGAUUUUGUUGUGACCUAUGUACCGGCCGGUCAGAACUAAAUUGAUGUGUUCGAUUAAGUUCUUUGUCAAACAAAUCGAAAAUCGGGAAACAAACUGCUGGACAAUAAGUACGACGUUGUUCCAUGUAUUUGUCCGGCUGAUAUCAUGAGAACAGAGGAUUAUAUGAUCACUUAUCUAAAAUGGCGCUUCAUAGUUCAACAGAGUUUUCGAGAGCUACGAUUGCUGGUUGGUUCCUGAAGUAACAUACGCAAAUAUAGUUAUUAGACUUAUCCAAGUGGGAGUCUGUUGGAUAAGGUGUCUAAGUCCAUAACUUAUUUGGUAUAUACUUGACCCGACCCGGCAUGGUCCAUUUGGGUUGCAUUUCAUCCAAACUAUUUAUGGAUAAUUUUAUGAGAGUUAUACACAUAUGUUUAUUAAUAUAUUAUAAGUUAUAAUAUAUUAAUAUGAAGUCAUGUUAUUUAAUUAGUCUUAGUCUUAAAUUAAUUAUGAAUUAAUUUAGAGAUUAAAAGGAAGACUAAUUAGAUUAUGGGCUAUUGGUUUUAUAUGGUGUGGGCUAACACUCAUUUGUUAAUGGGCUAGGCUUGUAUGGAAGUCCAUGGAUGAUCCAUGGAGCUUUUAACCCAUGGAUCCUUGGAAAAGGAAAGGUCAUGGGUUAUUAGGGUUUCACCCUAAUCAUGUACACUAUAUAAGCAUGCUUAUGUUGCAUGAAAUAGCCACUAGUGGCACUAGUUGUGUGAGACCUUGUGUGUGGCCGAUUUUAUAGUGUGUAUACACUCUCUCAAAUUUUUCCAAGAGUUUGUGGUGAUUUGUGAUUCCAUUUGAGGCAUUCACACUAUUGGUGCUUGGCCCUCAAACUCCUUAGGAAUCAAACUCAUCAUCAAAAGGUAUGUAAUCUCAUCUAAUUCUUUUAUGUUUAAAAGUACCCCAUGCCAUGUUAGAUAGGUUAUGAACCUUGGAAAAUUAUUGUUUUGCAUGUAUUUAGACAAACAUAGAUCCAAGGUUUAUUAGGGUUGCAUGCACACUUAGGAAGUGUUAGAUUGCUCAAAACCCAACAAUAAAUCCUUCGGUUACCUCUUCUACACACCUAGUGAUAUUGUACUCUUUGUAUUAAGGAGGGGAGUCUUUCACGAGAGAGAGUUCAUAAGCCACGGAAAUAGUGGGAGGCAUAUUAAUCUUGAAGAGAUUCAAGAGUCAAGUGGUGAAGGAACCUCAAACCAUAGAAAUCAACCUUAGGAGGAAACUCCUGUUAAUCUGACUGAUGAGUUUGUACCUCUGAGGUGUUCCAAGAGAGUUAAGAAUGCACCUAAGCAUUACUAUUGUUUCUAUAUUCCUACAGAAGGUGAUACACUUAUUAGUGACAACACACUGAUAGGUCUAGAUGAACCUAACAACUACACAGAAGCCAUGGCAGGCCCUGAGGCUGCUAAAUGGAAAGAGGCUAUGGACAACGAGAUACAGUCCAUGUAUGACAAUUAAGUUUGGAACUUGGUUGACAAUGUACCGGGUAGUAAGACAGUUGGGUGCAAAUGGAUCUUCAAGAAAAAGACCGACAUGGAUGGUAAUGUGCACACUUAUAAGGUGUGACUGGUUGCAAAUGGCUUUUCUUAAACUCCGGGAGUUGAUUAUGUUGAGACCUUUUCAACAGCAGCGAAGAUUAUGUCUAUUAGGGUUAUGUUAGCCAUUGCUACAUUUCAUGAUUAUGAAGUAUGGCAAAUGGAAGUCAAAACCGCAUUCCUUAAUGGAAAGUUGGCUGAGGAUGUUUACAUAAGUCAGCCAAAGGGACUUGUCAGCACAAAGUACCCUAAUAGAGUGUGUAAGCUUGAGAAAUCCAUUUAUGGAUUGAAACAAGCACCUCGCAGAUGGAAUCUUUGUUUCGAUGAGAAAGUCAAAGAGUUUGGUUUUUCGAGGAGUGAAGAUGAAUCUUGUGUAUAUGUAAAGGCUAGUGGGAGUAUAGUUAGCUUUCUGAUACUGUAUGUGGAUGACAUACUACUCAUGGGAAAUGACAUCCCAACUUUGCAGGACGUUAAGUCCUAGCUUGGGAAGUGUUUCGCUAUGAAGGACCUUGGAGAAGCUGCCUAUAUCCUCGAGAUAAGGAUUUUGAGAGACAGGAGUAAAAGACUAAUUGGACUUAGUCAGAAUACCUACUUGGAUAAGGUGCUGAAUAGGUUCAGCAUGCAGAAUUCCAAGAAGGGCGAGUUACCGAUCCAGAGUAACGCCAUAUUGAGUAAGACUUAGAGCUCGAGUAAAGAGGUUGAGAUAGCUGAGAUGAGUCGAGUGUUGUAUGCUUCCGAUGUAGGGUCGAUGAUGUAUGCUAUGACUUGUACGCAUUCUAAUAUGGCCUUCGCAUUGAGCAUGGUCAUCAUAUAUUAGGGGAACCCUGUAAAGGCUUACUAGACUACGGUAAAGAACAUUCUCAAGUACCUGCGGUGGACUAAGAACUAGGUCCUUACCCUCAGUGGGAGUGAUGACUUGACAUUAGUAGGGUAUAGUGAUGCUAGCUUCCAAACUGAUAGGGAUAAUUUCCACUCUCAGUCAGGCUGGGUCUUUACCCUAAACAGAGGAGCAAGUACUUGGAAAAUGUCUAAGCAGGAGACAAUGGAUGAUUUAACCUGCGAAUCAGAGUAUAUAGCGGAAAGCGAGGCAGAAAAGGAAGCUAUAUCGCUAUAGAACUUCAUUGGAGACUUUGGAGUUGUACCGACGAUUAAGGAGCCUAUGGAGAUUUUCUGUGAUAGUAAAGUGCAGUUGCCUUAGCCAAGGAACCAAGGAUCACGGGAGAUCUAGACACAUCGACAGAAAAUACCAUUUAUCAGACAUCAAAUAGAAGAAGGAAUCCUCAUGCAAAAGAGGGUAUCUUCGAAUGGGAACCCAACAUAUCCCCUCACGAAGGGACUGGGUAGGGUUAAACAUAUCCAACAAAUGAGGCGCAUACAGCUGAAGGAUGAUAUUAGCUUUAUUAGCUAGAUAGUUUUGGAAUUUGUAAAAUGUAAUUGACAUUUGAUGAUAAAUAAAAGUUGUUGUUUAUUUAUAAGUAUAAGUGUUGCUAUCUUUUGUCAAUCGUUUACUAUCAUUUUCAUUUUGCAUGUUUUGACUUCCAAAACAAUUAUGUUAUGGUAUAUCAUAUUAUUCAACUUCUCCAUAGUCGGUCAUAUGUUGGAAAUAGAUAUGAAUCAAUACUGUCAUGAGUUGGCUUGUAGAUGUCUAAGUUGUUGGACAUAGGUGGAAGUUAUUCAAUCUAUGUAAGAUUAGAAAACCUUAAUGCAAGAAGGAUGUUCAAAGCAAUGUACUUUGAAUAUGAGACUUCCGUUCCAUAGAAGUUGACCUUCUUUGGAAUACUCUGUAAUGAUUGGUGACAAGGUUUUGGUGACUUUGUGCAUAAUCAUUACAAGAGGAACAUUGCAUAAAAGUUUAAAAUCUAACAGUUUUUUUGGUAAAUGAUAGGAAUCGGGGAUUCUCACAUUUACAAUAAGGAUUUGGGAUUGUGAAAUGAGUAUCAAUGGAAUCAUGUUCAAUUGAUCUACAUCACAAUGUAAGGAUCAUAGACAAACAUAGUGUGCAUACUUGGAGUAUGGCAUAACUAUUGUUUAGAAAAACAAAGUGUACAUGCUAGGAGCAUGGGACGACUGUUGUUUUUAUUCAAGUCUUAAGUUGAUUGUUUGAAACAUUAUACAAUGAAUAAUGUGUAAUCAAUAUGGUGAUAAAUAAAAGGUGGUUCUAUUUAUAUUCAAAAGGGUUCUGAGACCAUAUUGGAUUCGAUUAUUAUUGUGUUUCACUUU